UGGAUUUGAAUAUUUUUGUACCAAAAAAUAGCUGUUGCACGGAGAAAGAUGCACCAGUAGUAGUGCGGCAGAUAUAUCCUAACCCUUGGAAGUACUACUCAUGUCAUGUAAUAUGCAAGGUAGUUCCUUUGUUUAAUCAAAUACAACCUGUAAAUUCAAUGUGUAUCCACUACAUAGGGUCUCUACCUUGGGAUUUAUGUCUAAUUAUUUAGGUGCUAAAAUAUCUUUCUGGUGCAUGUUUCCAUCUGCAAACCGGUGAUAUAAUUAAAAAAAAAAAUUGUAAGUCAAAUAAUGUAUGGACUGUUUCAUCUGAGAAUUCCAAGGAUCUUCAAAUAAUGUUAAGGAAUAACUCAGAUUUAUAGCAUCAGUUAUGACAGAAGAAGCCCCAACAAUGGGUAAUGAUGUACGUACGCGCGCGAUGCAAACAUUACUGGUCUGAUCAUGGCUAUUCAGUUAUAGAAUCAAGAACUCUAUAAAAUGGUGAUAUGAAUCCUCAAGAUAUAUUGAGAAAGGUGCAUUGGUAUAUUAUUUAGGUAAAACUGGUACCGCAGAUCCUCUAUACUCUCACAUAGAUAAGUAAGACAGCAGGUAAAUCUAAUUUACUAAAGGAAGAUCCACUUAAAAAUCUCAACUUAAUUGCUUUCCAUUGUUUUUCAUUUCUUAAAACAUCAAUAUAUUUCCUAUCCGAAGAUUUCGUCGCUGACACAUGCAUCCUUUGGUUUUCUGCUUCCGCAAGUAUUCAUGGUGGCAUCAGAUUGGACUUAUGAUUAUCAUGGCACAUUCAUUACUGAUGGAGUUCUUUGGUAAAUAUCGGAUUGAAGGUACUGACCAAAAGUUUCUCCAAGGGGGCUUUUAUCAAUAUGGUGUUUCGAUACUAUUUAUUCCGUCUCGACUCGAGGGUACUGAUUGAAGAGUUGCUUUCACCAGUAUGCUGCUGGCUUCACCAAACACACCAAUGAAUCAAACAAAGAGCGCAUAAGAGGUAAGAAAAUAUUUUUAUUGAGAAAAGAUGCUUUAGUUAUGUAGCACUGCUCUUUAGUCCUACUUCGGUUUGCGUAUCAUGAUGUAAGUUUUAAACCCUUUAACAAUUAAGUAUUUGUGACUCAUCAUUUGCGUAUGGAUGGUUUUGUUCCAAGAAGAACUAUUUUAUCCUUCCACAUAUGGAAUGAGUAGAGUUGCUUAUAUU